ACUCGGUCUUGAGCAAAUGGUCCGGUGAAAUCUUCGGAUUGCUGGCCAUUUGCCGCAAGGUGAGUGGUUGCGAGAAGUUGAUUGAACCUUAUCAUUUAGAGGAAGGAGAAGUCGUAACAAGGUUUCCGUACUGAGGUGAACCUGCGGAAG
rnacentral:ncRNA from 1 species